CCUGGCUCAGGAUGAACGCUGGCGGCGUGCCUAAUACAUGCAAGUCGAGCGAACAGAUAAGGAGCUUGCUCCUUUGACGUUAGCGGCGGACGGGUGAGUAACACGUGGAUAACCUACCUAUAAGACUGGGAUAACUUCGGGAAACCGGAGCUAAUACCGGAUAACAUAUUGAACCGCAUGGUUCAAUAGUGAAAGGCGGCUUUGCUGUCACUUAUAGAUGGAUCCGCGCCGUAUUAGCUAGUUGGUAAGGUAACGGCUUACCAAGGCAACGAUACGUAGCCGACCUGAGAGGGUGAUCGGCCACACUGGAACUGAGACACGGUCCAGACUCCUACGGGAGGCAGCAGUAGGGAAUCUUCCGCAAUGGGCGAAAGCCUGACGGAGCAACGCCGCGUGAGUGAUGAAGGUCUUCGGAUCGUAAAACUCUGUUAUCAGGGA
rnacentral:rRNA from 1 species